rnacentral:rRNA from 1 species
GGAUUAGAUACCCUGGUAGUCCACGCCGUAAACGAUGUCUACUUGCAGCUCGGUUCGUAAGAACGGUUUUGCGAAGCUAACGCGUUAAGUAGACCGCCUGGGGAGUACGGUCGCAAGAUUAAAACUCAAAUGAAUUGACGGGGGCCCGCACAAGCGGUGGAGCAUGUGGUUUAAUUCGAUGCAACGCGAAGAACCUUACCAUCCCUUGACAUCCUGAGAAGUUAGCAGAGAUGCUUUCGUGCCUUCGGGAACUCUGAGACAGGUGCUGCAUGGCUGUCGUCAGCUCGUGUCG